rnacentral:rRNA from 1 species
GACGAACGCUGGCGGCGUGCUUAACACAUGCAAGUCGAACGGAAAGGCCCUGCUUUUGUGGGGUGCUCGAGUGGCGAACGGGUGAGUAACACGUGAGUAACCUGCCCUUGACUUUGGGAUAACUUCCGGAAACUGGGGCUAAUACCGGAUAGGAGCUCCUGCUGCAUGGCGGGGGUUGGAAAGUUUCGGCGGUGGGGGAUGGACUCGCGGCUUAUCAGCUUGUUGGUGGGGUAGUGGCUUACCAAGGCUUUGACGGGUAGCCGGCCUGAGAGGGUGACCGGCCACAUUGGGACUGAGAUACGGCCCAGACUCCUGCGGGAGGCAGCAGUGGGGAAUAUUGCACGAUGGGCGGAAGCCUGAUGCAGCAACGCCGCGUGCGGGAUGACGGCCUUCGGGUUGUAAACCGCUUUCGCCUGUGACGAAGCGUGAGUGACGGUAAUGGGUAAAGAAGCACCGGCUAACUACGUG